CGAACGGGUGAGUAACGCGUGAGGAACCUGCCUCAAAGAGGGGGACAACAGUUGGAAACGACUGCUAAUACCGCAUAAGCCCACAGGUCGGCAUCGACCAGAGGGAAAAGGAGCAAUCCGCUUUGAGAUGGCCUCGCGUCCGAUUAGCUAGUUGGUGAGGUAACGGCCCACCAAGACAACGAUCGGUAGCCGGACUGAGAGGUUGAACGGCCACAUUGGGACUGAGACACGGCCCAG
rnacentral:rRNA from 1 species